rnacentral:rRNA from 1 species
CCUACGGGAGGCAGCAGUAGGGAAUAUUGCUCAAUGGGGGAAACCCUGAAGCAGCAACGCCGCGUGGAGGAUGAAGGUUUUCGGAUUGGAAACUCCUUUUGUUAGAGAAGUUAAUGACGGUAUCUAACGAAUAAGCACUGUCUAACUCCGUGCCAGCAGCCCCGGUAAUACGGAGGGUGCAAGCGUUACUCGGAAUCACUGGGCGUAAAGGGCGCGUAGGCGGGAUAGCAAGUCAGAUGUGAAAGCCUAUGGCUUAACCAUAGAACUGCAUUUGAAACUGUUAUUCUAGAGUAUGUGAGAGGUAGGUGGAAUUCGUGGUGUAGGGGUAAAAUGCGUAGAGAUCAAGAGGAAUACUCAUUGCGAAGGCGACCUGCUAGAACAUAACUGACGCUGAUGCGCGAAAGCGUGGGGAGCAAACAGGAUUAGAUACCCUUGUAGUC